rnacentral:misc_RNA from 1 species
UCGAGUUAGGGUCCUCAGGGCCCAGCUUCCAACCCAAUGUUUAUUUACUCUUGUUGCUUUGGCGGGUCGAGGUUUCGGCCCCGCUGGCUCUGGCUGGCGAGUACCCGCCGAAGGUCACCCAAAAUCUAUUUAUUCGUGAUGUCUGAGAAAAAUAUUCAAUAAGCGA